rfam:Salmo salar isolate Sally breed double haploid chromosome ssa19, whole genome shotgun sequence.
CGUUCUCCGGUCUGCUAGUCGCUCUGGAUAAGAGCGUCUGCUAAAUGACUUAAA